AUGAACGCUGGCGGCGCGCCUAACACAUGCAAGUCGAACGGCACCCCUCUCCGGAGGGAAGCGAGUGGCGAACGGCUGAGUAACACGUGGAGAACCUGCCCCCUCCCCCGGGAUAGCCGCCCGAAAGGACGGGUAAUACCGGAUACCCCGGGGUGCCGCAUGGCACCCCGGCUAAAGCCCCGACGGGAGGGGAUGGCUCCGCGGCCCAUCAGGUAGACGGCGGGGUGACGGCCCACCGUGCCGACAACGGGUAGCCGGGUUGAGAGACCGACCGGCCAGAUUGGGACUGAGACACGGCCCAGACUCCUACGGGAGGCAGCAGUGGGGAAUCUUGCGCAAUGGGGGGAACCCUGACGCAGCGACGCCGCGUGCGGGACGGAGGCCUUCGGGUCGUAAACCGCUUUCAGCAGGGAAGAGUCAAGACUGUACCUGCAGAAGAAGCCCCGGCUAACUACGUGCCAGCAGCCGCGGUAAUACGUAGGGGGCGAGCGUUAUCCGGAUUCAUUGGGCGUAAAGCGCGCGUAGGCGGCCCGGCAGGCCGGGGGUCGAAGCGGGGGGCUCAACCCCCCGAAGCCCCCGGAACCUCCGCGGCUUGGGUCCGGUAGGGGAGGGUGGAACACCCGGUGUAGCGGUGGAAUGCGCAGAUAUCGGGUGGAACACCGGUGGCGAAGGCGGCCCUCUGGGCCGAGACCGACGCUGAGGCGCGAAAGCUGGGGGAGCGAACAGGAUUAGAUACCCUGGUAGUCCACGCCGUAAACGAUGACUACUAGGUGUCGGGUGGCAAAGCCAUUCGGUGCCGCAGCCAACGCAAUAAGUAGUCCACCUGGGGAGUACGUUCGCAAGAAUGAAACUCAAAGGAAUUGACGGGGACCCGCACAAGCGGUGGAGCAUGUGGUUUAAUUCGAAGCAACGCGAAGAACCUUACCAGGUCUUGACAUUGAUCGCCAUUCCAAGAAAUUGGAAGUUCUCCUUCGGGAGACGAGAAAACAGGUGGUGCACGGCUGUCGUCAGCUCGUGUCGUGAGAUGUUGGGUUAAGUCCCGCAACGAGCGCAACCCCCGCCGCGUGUUGCCAUCGGGUGAUGCCGGGAACCCACGCGGGACCGCCGCCGUCAAGGCGGAGGAGGGCGGGGACGACGUCAAGUCAUCAUGCCCCUUAUGCCCUGGGCUGCACACGUGCUACAAUGGCCGGUACAGAGGGAUGCCACCCCGCGAGGGGGAGCGGAUCCCGGAAAGCCGGCCCCAGUUCGGAUUGGGGGCUGCAACCCGCCCCCAUGAAGUCGGAGUUGCUAGUAAUCGCGGAUCAGCAUGCCGCGGUGAAUGCGUUCCCGGGCCUUGUACACACCGCCCGUCACACCACCCGAGUCGUCUGCACCCGAAGUCGCCGGCCCAACCGAGAGGGGGGAGGCGCCGAAGGUGUGGAGGGUGAGGGGGGUG
rnacentral:rRNA from 1 species